UGGGAACUAGUUGUGGGGUCCAUUCCACGGAUUCCGUGACGCAGCUAACGCAUUAAGUUCCCCGCCUGGGGAGUACGGCCGCAAGGCUAAAACUCAAAGGAAUUGACGGGGACCCGCACAAGCGGCGGAGCAUGCGGAUUAAUUCGAUGCAACGCGAAGAACCUUACCAAGGCUUGACAUACACCAGAACGGGCCAGAAAUGGUCAACUCUUUGGACACUGGUGAACAGGUGGUGCAUGGCUGUCGUCAG
rnacentral:rRNA from 1 species